rnacentral:rRNA from 1 species
ACGGGUGAGUAACGCGUGGGAAUCUACCGUGCCCUACGGAAUAGCUCCGGGAAACUGGAAUUAAUACCGUAUACGCCCUUCGGGGGAAAGAUUUAUCGGGGUAUGAUGAGCCCGCGUUGGAUUAGCUAGUUGGUGGGGUAAAGGCCUACCAAGGCGACGAUCCAUAGCUGGUCUGAGAGGAUGAUCAGCCACAUUGGGACUGAGACACGGCCCAAACUCCUACGGGAGGCAGCAGUGGGGAAUAUUGGACAAUGGGCGCAAGCCUGAUCCAGCCAUGCCGCGUGAGUGAUGAAGGCCCUAGGGUUGUAAAGCUCUUUCACCGGUGAAGAUAAUGACGGUAACCGGAGAAGAAGCCCCGGCUAACUUCGUGCCAGCAGCCGCGGUAAUACGAAGGGGGCUAGCGUUGUUCGGAAUUACUGGGCGUAAAGCGCACGUAGGCGGAUAUUUAAGUCAGGGGUGAAAUCCCAGAGCUCAACUCUGGAACUGCCUUUGAUACUGGGUAUCUCGAGUAUGGAAGAGGUGAGUGGAAUUCCGAGUGUAGAGGUGAAAUUCGUAGA